rnacentral:rRNA from 1 species
UGCAGUCGACGGCCGCACAGUAGAGCUUGCUCUUAUGGGUGGCGAGUGGCGGACGGGUGAGGAAUACUCGGAUCUACCUUUUCGUGGGGGAUAACGAGGGAAACUUACGCUAAUACCGCAACGACCUUCGGGUGAAAGCGGGGGACCUUCGGGCCUUGCGCGGAUAGAUGAGCCGAUGUCGGAUUAGCUAGUUGGCGGGGUAAAGGCCCACCAAGGCGACGAUCCGUAGCUGGUCUGAGAGAUGAUCAGCCUAACUGGAACUGAGACACGGCCAGACUCCUACGGGAGGCAGCAGUGGGGAAUAUUGGACAAUGGGCGCAAGCCUGAUCCAGCCAUACCGCGUGGGUGAAGAAGGCCUUCGGGUUGUAAAGCCCUUUUGUUGGGAAAGAAAAGCAGUCGAUAAAUACUCGAUGUUCUGACGGUACCAAAAGAAUAACACCGGCUAACUUCGUGCAGA